rnacentral:rRNA from 1 species
UACAGAGGUCCCAAGCGUUGUUCGGAUUCAUUGGGCGUAAAGGGUGCGUAGGCGGUGAGGUAAGUUGGAUGUGAAAUCCCGGGGCUUAACCCCGGAACUGCAUUCAAUACUGCCUUGCUAGAGUACUGGAGAGGAGAUUGGAAUUCACGGUGUAGCAGUGAAAUGCGUAGAUAUCAGGAGGAACACCGAUGGCGAAGGCAGGUCUCUGGGCUGACACUGACGCUCAUGCACGAAAGCGUGGGGAGCAAACAGG